rnacentral:rRNA from 1 species
CGUAGGCGGCAUGACAAGUCACUUGUGAAAUCUCCGGGCUUAACUCGGAACGGCCAAGUGAUACUGUCGCGCUAGAGUGCGGAAGGGGCAAUCAGAAUUCUUGGUGUAGCAGUGAAAUGCGUAGAUAUCAAGAGGAAUACCUGAGGUGAAGACGGGUUGCUAGGCCGACACUGACGCUGAGUGCGCGAAAGCCAGGGGAGCAAACG